AUUGAACGCUGGCGGCAGGCUUAACACAUGCAAGUCGAGCGGGGUGAUGGCGCUUGCACUAUCACUUAGCGGCGGACGGGUGAGUAAUGCUUAGGAAUCUGCCUAUUAGUGGGGGACAACAUCUCGAAAGGGAUGCUAAUACCGCAUACGUCCUACGGGAGAAAGCAGGGGAUCACUUGUGACCUUGCGCUAAUCGAUGAGCCUAAGGCGGAUUAGCUAGUUGGUGGGGUAAAGGCCUACCAAGGCGACGAUCUGUAGCGGGUCUGAGAGGAUGAUCCGCCACACUGGGACUGAGACACGGCCCAGACUCCUACGGGAGGCAGCAGUGGGGAAUAUUGGACAAUGGGGGGAACCCUGAUCCAGCCAUGCCGCGUGUGUGAAGAAGGCCUUAUGGUUGUAAAGCACUUUAAGCGAGGAGGAGGCUCUUUUGGUUAAUACCCAAGACGAGUGGACGUUACUCGCAGAAUAAGCACCGGCUAACUCUGUGCCAGCCGCCGCGGUAA
rnacentral:rRNA from 1 species